UACGAAGGGAGCUAGCGUUGUUCGGAAUCACUGGGCGUAAAGCGCACGUAGGCGGAUGUGUCAGUCAGGGGUGAAAUCCCGGAGCUCAACUUCGGAACUGCCUUUGAUACAGCACGUCUUGAGUCCGGAAGAGGUGGGUGGAACUGCGAGUGUAGAGGUGAAAUUCGUAGAUAUUCGCAAGAACACCAGUGGCGAAGGCGGCUCACUGGCCCGGUACUGACGCUGAGGUGCGAAAAGCGUGGGGAGCAAACAGG
rnacentral:rRNA from 1 species